AGUGAACGCUGGCGGUAGGCCUAACACAUGCAAGUCGAACGGCAGCACAGUAAGAGCUUGCUCUUACGGGUGGCGAGUGGCGGACGGGUGAGGAAUACAUCGGAAUCUACUUUUUCGUGGGGGAUAACGUAGGGAAACUUACGCUAAUACCGCAUACGACCUACGGGUGAAAGCAGGGGAUCUUCGGACCUUGCGCGAUUGAAUGGGCCGAUGUCGGAUUAGCUAGUUGGCGGGGUAAAGGCCCACCAAGGCGACGAUCCGUAGCUGGUCUGAGAGGAUGAUCAGCCACACUGAAACUGAGACACGGUCCAGACUCCUACGGGAGGCAGCAGUGGGGAAUAUUGGACAAUGGGCGCAAGCCUGAUCCAGCCAUACCGCGUGGGUGAAGAAGGCCUUCGGGUUGUAAAGCCCUUUUGUUGGGAAAGAAAAGCAGCAGGUUAAUACCCCGCUGUUCUGACGGUACCCAAAGAAUAAGCACCGGCUAACUUCGUG
rnacentral:rRNA from 1 species